rnacentral:rRNA from 10 species
AAUGAUUAGGGUGAAGUCGUAACAAGGUAGCCGUAGGAGAACCUGCGGCUGGAUCACCUCCUUUCUAAGGAA